rnacentral:rRNA from 1 species
GUAGGGAAUAUUGCGCAAUGGAGGAAACUCUGACGCAGCGACGCCGCGUGGGUGACGAAGGCCUUCGGGUCGUAAAGCCCUGUCGGAAGGGAAGAAAAAUAUACUGGCUAACAUCCAGUGUACUUGACGGUACCUUUAAAGGAAGCACCGGCUAACUACGUGCCAGCAGCCGCGGUAAUACGUAGGGUGCAAGCGUUGUUCGGAAUCAUUGGGCGUAAAGCGCGUGUAGGUCGUUAAGUAAGUCGGGUGUGAAAUCCCUCGGCUCAACCGAGGAAGUGCAUCCGAAACUGCUUAGCUAGAGGACGGUAGAGGAAGGUGGAAUUCCUAGUGUAGAGGUGAAAUUCGUAGAUAUUAGGAGGAAUACCGGUGGCGAAGGCGGCCUUCUGGGCCGUUCCUGACACUGAGACGCGAAAGCGUGGGUAGCAAACAGGAUUAGAAACCCCAGUAGUCC